rnacentral:rRNA from 1 species
AGCGAACGCUGGCGGCAGGCUUAACACAUGCAAGUCGAGCGCCCCGCAAGGGGAGCGGCAGACGGGUGAGUAACACGUGGGAACGUACCUUUUGGUUCGGAACAACACAGGGAAACUUGUGCUAAUACCGGAUAAGCCCUUACGGGGAAAGAUUUAUCGCCGAAAGAUCGGCCCGCGUCUGAUUAGCUAGUUGGUGAGGUAAUGGCUCACCAAGGCUACGAUCAGUAGCUGGUCUGAGAGGAUGAUCAGCCACACUGGGACUGAGACACGGCCAAGACUCCUACGGGAGGCAGCAGUGGGGUAUAUUGGACAAUGGGGGCAACCCUGAUCCAGCCAUGCCGCGUGAGUGAUGAAGGCCCUAGGGUUGUAAAGCUCUUUUAACGGGGAAGAUAAUGACGGUACCCGUAGAAUAAGCCCCGGCUAACUUCGUGCCAGCAGCCGCCGUAACAC